AUGUUCAACGGGGUUACUCUGACAAUAGUCGGCCCCGAGCAGGGUCUGGUUAUGGAACAGGAAGUGAAAAUCCUAUUAGAGAAGGAGGCCAUCGAGGUGGUCCCUCCUCAAGACAGGGAAUCCGGGUUUUACAGAUGGUAUUUCAUAGUUCCAAAGAAGGAUGGGGGGUUGCGUCCGAUCAUAGACCUGCGGGUCUUAAAUCGAUCAGUUAUGAGAUUGAAGUUCAAAAUGCUCACCAUCAAGCAUGUUGUAGCUCAGAUCAGGUCCGAGGACUGGUUUGUUACAAUAGAUCUCAAAGAUGCAUACUUCCACAUAUCCAUCCUUCCACAACACAGGAAGUUUCUGAGGUUCGCUUUCGGGCGUGAAGCCUACCAAUAUCGAGUACUUCCCUUCGGCCUUGCACUCUCACCCCGCACGUUCACAAAAUGUGUAGAUGCGGGUCUGGUCCCCCUGCGCAUGCAGGGCAUCUGCAUUCUCAACUAUAUCGACGAUUGGUUGAUUUUAGCUCAGUUGGAGCAGAUUGCGGCUCGGCAUCGAGAUGUCGUUCUCGCACAUAUGGGGGAGCUGGGUUUGAGACUGAACGCCAAGAAGAGUGCACUUUCUCCAGUUCAGAGAACCACCUAUCUAAGCGUAGUAUGGGAUUCGACCGCGAUGCAGCCAAAAUUGUCCCCUGCUCGUAUCGAGUCGAUCCUCAUCUCAGUCAAGAGAGUCAAAGAAGGCCAGUCACUCACUGUCAAACAAUUUCAGAGAUUGUUGGGUCUGAUGGCAGCUGCGUCCAACGUGAUACCUCUUGGCUUGCUGUACAUGAGACCCCUACAGUGGUGGCUCAAGACCAAGGGAUUUUCCCCGAGGGGCAAUCCACUUCGAACUAUCAAGGUCACGCGGUGCUGCCUCCGUGCCUUAGACAUGUGGAAGAAACCUUGGUUCUUGAAUCAGGGCCUGGUGCUGGGAGCUCCUGGUCGCUGUGUAACACUAGCGACGGAUGCAUCCCUCACUGGUUGGGGUGCGGUCAUGAGUGGCCACCCUGCCCGUGGUCUGUGGAGCGGUCGCCAUCUGACAUGGCAUAUCAAUUGUCUAGAAAUGCUAGCAGUUUAUGCACUGAAGCACUUCCUCCCAGACCUAAGGGGUCACCAUGUGUUGGUGCGCACUGACAACACAUCGGUGGUGUGA
ensembl:lncRNA